rnacentral:rRNA from 2 species
GCAGUCGAGCGAUGGAUUGAGAGCUUGCUCUCAAGAAGUUAGCGGCGGACGGGUGAGUAACACGUGGGUAACCUGCCCAUAAGACUGGGAUAACUCCGGGAAACCGGGGCUAAUACCGGAUAAUAUUUUGAACUGCAUGGUUCGAAAUUGAAAGGCGGCUUCGGCUGUCACUUAUGGAUGGACCCGCGUCGCAUUAGCUAGUUGGUGAGGUAACGGCUCACCAAGGCAACGAUGCGUAGCCGACCUGAGAGGGUGAUCGGCCACACUGGGACUGAGACACGGCCCAGACUCCUACGGGAGGCAGCAGUAGGGAAUCUUCCGCAAUGGACGAAAGUCUGACGGAGCAACGCCGCGUGAGUGAUGAAGGCUUUCGGGUCGUAAAACUCUGUUGUUAGGGAAGAACAAGUGCUAGUUGAAUAAGCUGGCACCUUGACGGUACCUAACCAGAAAGCCACGGCUAACUACGUGCCAGCAGCCGCGGUAAUACGUAGGUGGCAAGCGUUAUCCGGAAUUAUUGGGCGUAAAGCGCGCGCAGGUGGUUUCUUAAGUCUGAUGUGAAAGCCCACGGCUCAACCGUGGAGGGUCAUUGGAAACUGGGAGACUUGAGUGCAGAAGAGGAAAGUGGAAUUCCAUGUGUAGCGGUGAAAUGCGUAGAGAUAUGGAGGAACACCAGUGGCGAAAGGCGACUUUCUGGUCUGUAACUGACACUGAGGCG